GCUUGGCAGAGAACAGAGUCUGAGCCUGUUCAGCCCUGUCUGCUGUCUGCUGGGUAUGAAAUCACAGUCACACUUCAUAGAGCCACACUAACAACACUGCAAAAUACAAUACAGGAGCGCACGAACGCAGCAGAGAGGAAAGAAAUCCAUACCGCUUUGGAACGUCAUGAGGGAGGCCAGUGAUAUUUGGGGCGCACGGUGGAGCCCCAGCGGGCAGAGUGAGGAUGGGAGAGCGUCCCAUGGAGUGGCAGUUACCAUGCCAACACGCUGAGCGUUACAGUCAAUGGCGGUAGAUCGCAGGAGGGUACCGCAAAACACCACUGGAGGGAAAGAUAUUUAACCUUUCACACACCUUUGAGGCAGAAAGCCCACCACAGAAGUCUAAAAGGCAAACAAGAGCGCUGACAAACAUGGUUCUCUGACAGCCUGAGAUGAUUUAGGGGGUUGAUUUUCAACCAACUCAACCAACUGUAAAUAAAGGUAAAUCUUUGGCUUUUGCUGCUACAUGUAA